rnacentral:rRNA from 1 species
ACAUCCAGCGAACUUGGCAGAGAUGCCUUGGUGCCUUCGGGAACGCUGAGACAGGUGCUGCAUGGCUGUCGUCAGCUCGUGUUGUGAAAUGUUGGGUUAAGUCCCGNAACGAGCGCAACCCUUUAUCCUUUGUUGCCAGCGAUUCGGUCGGGAACUCAAAGGAGACUGCCGGUGAUAAACCGGAGGAAGGUGGGGAUGACGUCAAGUCAUCAUGGCCCUUACGAGUAGGGCUACACACGUGCUACAAUGGCGCAUACAAAGAGAAGCGACCUCGCGAGAGCAAGCGGACCUCAUAAAGUGCGUCGUAGUCCGGAUCGGAGUCUGCAACUCGACUCCGUGAAGUCGGAAUCGCUAGUAAUCGUGGAUCAGAAUGCCACGGUGAAUACGUUCCCGGGCCUUGUACACACCGCCCGUCACACCAUGGGAGUGGGUUGCAAAAGAAGUAGGUAGCUUAACCCUCGGGAGGGCGCUUACCACUUUGUGAUUCAUGACUGGGGUGAAGUCGUAACAAGGUAGGCGUAGCGAG